ACUCAAAUGAAUUGACGGGGACUUGCACAAGCAGUGGAUUAUGAGGUUCAAUUCGAUGACAAACGAAGAACCUUACCAAGAUUAGAAAUUCAAUCGAAGACAUUGGGAAACCUUUGUCGUCUCACAAGGACGGUUGGACAGGUGAUGCAUGGCCGUCGUCAGUUCGUGGUUUGAAUUGUUCCCUUAAGUGGGGUAACGAACGCAACCCUUGUCGUGUGUUAUAAGUAUCACGCGAGACUACCCCUCACCGAGAAAAUCAUUUUAAAUGGUUUUUUGGGUGAGGGGAGGAAGGCGAGGAUGACGCCAGGUCAGCAUGUCCCUCUGAUAUCUUGGGCUACACUCAUAAUACAAUCGCACAUACAACGCGACGCAAUAGCGCAAGCUGGAGCAAAUCGUAAUAAAGUGUGCGCCAGUUCGGAUUGGGGUCUGCAACUCGACCCCAUGAAGCCGGAAUUGCUAGUAAUCGCGGGUCAGCUAUACCGCGGUGAAUACGUUCUCAAGUCUUGUACACACCGCCCGU
rnacentral:rRNA from 1 species